rnacentral:lncRNA from 1 species
GCCAAUCUUCAUCAACAUUUUCAACAACACCAUCUCCUCUCAAAAGCCUAGUUCAUCUCUUGUGCUUAAUCUUGUACAAGACCCUUAGAUUGGUACCUGGGGGGUGACUAGUAGUGUUGAUUACAUCUUGUAGUUGAUGCUUUAUGGUUUAUUUGGUGGAAGAUAAUAUGUUUGGAUCCAAUAUGCUAUUUAAUACCUCUCUCGUU